rnacentral:rRNA from 1 species
UACGUAGGGUGCGAGCGUUGUCCGGAAUUACUGGGCGUAAAGAGCUCGUAGGUGGUUUGUCGCGUUGUCCGUGAAAACUCACAACUCAAUUGUGGGCGUGCGGGCGAUACGGGCAGACUGGAGUACUGCAGGGGAGACUGGAAUUCCUGGUGUAGCGGUGGAAUGCGCAGAUAUCAGGAGGAACACCGGUGGCGAAGGCGGGUCUCUGGGCCGAUGACUGACGCUGAGGAGCGAAAGCGUGGGGGAGCGAACAGG